CACGUAGGGUGCGAGCGUUGUCCGGAAUUAUUGGGCGUAAAGAGCUCGUAGGCGGCUUGUUGCGUCGACUGUGAAAACCCGCGGCUUAACCGCGGGCUUGCAGUUGAUACGGGCAGGCUAGAGUUCGGUAGGGGAGACUGGAAUUCCUGGUGUAGCGGUGAAAUGCGCAGAUAUCAGGAGGAGCACCGGUGGCGAAGGCGGGUCUCUGGGCAGUAACUGACGCUGAGGAGCGAAAGCGUGGGGAGCGAACAGG
rnacentral:rRNA from 1 species